rnacentral:rRNA from 1 species
AUUGAACGCUGGCGGCAUGCCUUACACAUGCAAGUCGAACGGCAGCGGACCUUCGGGUGCCGGCGAGUGGCGAACGGGUGAGUAAUGCAUCGGAACGUGCCAUUGAGUGGGGGGAUAACGUAGCGAAAGUUGCGCUAAUACCGCAUAUUCUGUGAGCAGGAAAGCAGGGGACCGCAGGGCCUUGCGCUCUUUGAGCGGCCGAUGUCAGAUUAGCUAGUUGGUGAGGUAAAGGCUUACCAAGGCGACGAUCUGUAGCGGGUCUGAGAGGAUGAUCCGCCACACUGGAACUGAGACACGGUCCAGACUCCUACGGGAGGCAGCAGUGGGGAAUUUUGGACAAUGGGGGCAACCCUGAUCCAGCCAUGCCGCGUGAGUGAAGAAGGCC